AGUGGACCGGGGUGGGAGUGGUGAGCGGGGAUGGACUGGGAGGGCCUGUCUAGGCACCUGGGGGGUGGCAGGGGCCAGGUGGGACCUUAUGGUCUUCCUUUUAGGGAGAAGACUGGGCUCUGGGAAGUGUGGUGGCCUCUUGAGGGGACUUUUUUCCUUUUUAGUGGACACGAUCCAAGCAGUCUGUCUUGGGGAAGAGUUGCCAGAGAAAAUACAGGACUCCCAGUUUCAGAUCAACACAUGCGUCUUAUUUUCGUGUAAGUAUAUCCCUAGUAUUACAUGGGACAUGCUUAUAAAAAUCAUUCAUUGAUCUGAAAUUCAGAUUUAACUGGGCAUCCUGUAUUCGUUAAUUUUUUAAAAGUUUAUUUAUUUAUUUUGUGUGUGAGAGAGAAAGAGAGAGCGAGCAGGGGAGGGGCAGAGAAACAAGGAGAGGGAGAAUCCCAAGCAAGUCCCGCAUUAUCAGCUCGGAGCCCUACACCAGGCUUGAACUCACGAGCCAUAUGAGAUCAUGACCCGAGCCGAAAUCAAGAGUCCGAUGCUUAACCGACUGAGCCACCUGGGUGCCCCUGGGCGUCCUGUUUCUUAUAUGCUAAAACUGGCAACUCCAGUCUUUGGUCUCCUGGGGACAGCUCAUAUCUUAUGGGACCACGGCUUUGUUCAGCUGGAAGAGACUAUGGAGGUCAGAGGCUAUUUUUGAAGAAGAGGGACAGAAGACCAACAUCAUGCAUGAGGCCAAGUGAGGACAUAAUGAGAAGGCGGCCGCCUACAAGCCCGGAAGCGGGCUCCCAUCAGGAACUGAGGCUGCCAGCACCUCGAUCGUCGCGGACCUCCCAGCUUCCGGAAGUGGGAGGAAGACACGUUUGUGGUUUAAGCGAUGCACCUGCGGCGUGUCGUUGCAGCGUCUCGAGUAGGCUUGGCCUAUACAUGCCUCAGUCCCCCACGUGCGAACACAGGUUCACAUCAGCCCAGCUUGCCUGUACCUGUGUGUCCACACCCACGUGUUACACACAAGUACGGAUGCAGGGGAGAGCAGUGCGCAUGUCCACGUGGUGGCCUGCCCCCUUCUCCCUUCCACGCCCAUUCCUGAGCCGCAAGCAUGGCUUGAGUUCUUCAUUGCCAUUUAUUGGACCCUCCCAUGGAAGAAAGGGGUGGGGAGCAAGAAGAGGAAGCUGUCUUUGUUAGGACUGAACCAGGGAGCCCAGGGGACCUCAGAGGAAGGGGACUGGAACAAUGGGGGAAGGUGGCCAGUGGGGAAGGGCUGGGCUGAAGGAGGGUGAGGGCAAGGGUGGGGCGUGGGAAGGCCUGUGGCCGAAUCUUUGAACUGGCCAGGGCUGGGGGCUCCGGUGUGGUGAAGAUGCCCUCAACCAAGCUUUCAGAAGACUGUGUUCAGGAGCAUGGAUGUGCUCAGCACCGCCCCCCCCCCCGCCACGGCGGCCCCCCAAAGGUGUCCUCAGAGCCCAGAGGCAGGCAAGGACCUGGCAAGGAUUAGUUUCUGGGGGGCAGGGAAAGGGGGGGCUCAGUUGCCCUCAGCUGGGGUCCAGGCCUGGUCCAGAGGGAUCUUCUGGGAUGUUUUUUCCAUUUCUGGUUCCCGCUUUGGUUCCUUUGCCCGCCAGGACCUAGGGAAAGAGAUCUCAGGAAAAGCCCCCGGUAUGGACCUGCUUCCCCAGCUAGGAGUUCCAGGAGGACCAGAAGCAAGGGACUGACCAGGUUUCCACGUCUUCGAUAGUCUCUGGCAAGGGCUGAUUGAGGGUCUCAGGCAGGAAGAGGGCAGCCCUGCCUCCCAGGAAGGUGAUGGUCCCAAAUAUGACUUUGGGGAUGAAGGGCUGCCACUCCCCUGUGAUCUUCACCAGCGGGGCCAUCAUGCUUCCCAUGUGGGCCCCCAAGUUGCCAAUGCUCAUGCCUGUUUGCCUGGGAGAGUUCAGAGUAGGGAUUGGCAGCCUGUGUGUGGGGCCCCUGGGCAGGGGGCUAGAGGAUGCUGCGAUCCCACCUGACCCUGUAUCUUUUGGCUCGGCCAGCCCCAAGCCCUGCACCUACCGAAUGAUCGUGGGGUACAGCUCGCUUGAACAGAGGAAGAGGCAGCCGAAGGAACUGGACGAGCAUCCCCUUCCCAAACACAGCCAGGGCUGUCCUCAGGGUCUGCGAAUCUGCAGACGGAAGAAAAUGUGAUGGGCCUCGGGCUCAGGAGCACCUGAGUGCUGAGUGUUCUCACUCUUCAGCCGACUUUGUCUCCCUUUUUGCUUUGGCUGCUGGAAAGCUCAGGUCUAAAUAUAAAGCUGAGUAAUGGUC